UACACACCGCCCGUCACACCAUGGGAGUUGGCUUUACCCGAAGGCGGUGCGCUAACCAGCAAUGGAGGCAGCCGACCACGGUAGGGUCAGCGACCGGGGUG
rnacentral:rRNA from 1 species